ACAUUAUAUCAAUUUAUUUCACCUUUGAUUUAAGAACAUGAUAUUUUCACGUACUUUUUGACUUGUCGUGUGGAGUCCUGCUAUACAGAGUGCUAUAUGCUGCUGUAUGUAUACAAGUUGCUGUUAUGAUAGUUUUAACUGUUGACGUUGCAGUUAUUUGAACUAUUUAUAGGACUACAUCAUUUCCGCGCUAUGCACACAAGCUCAAAAACAUCAUUCACUCUGGAACACUUACCUGCAGCCACCCGCGCGCACACACACACACGUCUAUACUCAACCAUUCUUCCCAUUUUUGCACGAGGAGGUAAUGUAAGAAAACACGAAAACCAUGAAACAGCCGUUGCUUCAUCAUUACAUUAUUUCUGUUGACAAUAGAGAAGAAACUCUAUACAAAGCUAGCUACGGGAACCAUAGGCCGCUUUGUGACAUACCGUGAUAAAAUUGUCAAAGAAAUGUUCAUCGUGGCGUCGUUAGAGCUCAAAUAACUAUUAAAGGAGAUCAACACUCGCGCGCGCACGUAAUCAUGAGCAUAUCUUUCUCUGAGCACAAUGUGGCGAGCCUGUAAGCAGGGCUUAUCUCAUCGGGACUUUCCACUUUCUUUGAUCUGUGCUCUGGAAAAUUCGCGCUUAAAAUAGGAAUGACCAGAUCAUAGUCAAUAUAAUCAGUUGAGCCGACGGUAUCCCUUAGAACUUUACACACAGAGCAGCGUUCAAGUAUUACACAUCGACACCUGCGGAAGUCUUGACCCUACAGAAACAAAAAUGAAGGCACGCCGAGGGACCCUACAGGCCCUGCUUGACAAGGCUAAGGCAGGACGCCUGAAAUCCGUUCGUGUUUCCAAGGUUCCACCAACUAGAGCCUGGAAUCACACGCCCCGUUACUCGAGAAGUAAAAUAACCUUCACUCCAGUACCAAAUAUGAAACUGGCAAAGACCCUUAUGCUUCAAACUGCCAAAAAAGGAUCCCUUGAUAAUAAACAGAAAACUAGCAAUGCCCCCAAUACAAGCGGCUACUUGUGUGCAGUCGAAAGAAGGAGGAGACCUCGUGUUAAACAAUAAGCUCCAUCAACUAUAUAGUCCACAAUAUCUUGCAGCACCGAAGCUAUGGUGUCUUCAGCUUUAAGCAUCCCAGACAUUUUUAAAUAGCGUCUGAUAGCAUCUUUUCUUGAUUUAAAGCAUUUAAUUUAAAGUUUUGUCAUUUUAUUUGACGCAUAGUGUUGGAUGUGAUUAUUUGGAAAAUGUGCAAGUGUUUGAAUUUAGGUAUUGUGGUGUUGAUUAGUGUCUUUGGACUUCAACUGUACUGGCGUUAGUUUACAAUUUUACACAUUUACUAUAAUAUGCUUGCUCUGAUGCAGAGUGAGAUAAAAGAGAGAGAAACAGAAAAGUUACUAAUUCAAAAGACUCGCAGUGAGACGAACAAAUAAAAAAGUAUAAAUUAAAUAUUUGUUACAAUACAUUACUGCUGUAUGCACUUUUAUUAAUUGAUUUGUUUGUAAAAAUGUAACAAAUAUAAUAAAAUCUUGUCCAGAAGGAU